CUGAAUCAGGGUAGAAACCCGGGUUUGUCGCUCUACCUUCAAAGCCCAUGUGCUUCUUAUGUGGAUCAUGUUGCUAGUGUCAAGUAGGAACUUGGGAACAUCUGAAAUAUAGCACGGUGCUGUUUGGGGGGUAACUUUUCUAUUUCCAAUCAUUUUAUUUACCUUUAAAGAUACUGCAGCCCUCCUCAGUUCCCCUCGCCAAGUUGAGCACUCCCUUCUUCCUGUGAUAGGAAACACUGCAAAAUAAAAUGUACAGAACAAAUUACAAGUGUGGCUUCCACCUCUUGCCCUCCAGGCUGCAGACAAAAGCUCUUUUCAUUGUGUCAGCCGAAUAGUAUAAACUAACAGGACGAUUUAGUUUCCAAGAGGAGCCUAGUCUAAACGUUUUUGAUUCACAUUUGAAAUAAAUCAAUAUGGUACAGGACGGGUCAUGAAAGACCCUUUGAGAAGGGAAAGGUCUUUAGGAUAUAGAGUAGGUCCAAGUUUUCCUCUAACUUUCCCACUCACAAAUUGUGUAAAAUACAGGAGUUUGGGGGUGGGAGUGUAUCACGGAAUGGCCUUUUGAGGGUCUUUUCUUGCUUAAUGGUAAGGAAACAAUUCCAGAAUGUCCCCACCUUCCGAAAGGAAGCCUCCUUUUGUUUGAAGCUUAGCUACUUCGGUUGCCAUGAAGACAAAAUCAGUCCAAAGGACCUCUUUACUCUAUACUCCUGUUGGAAGCCUUGGCCCCUCGCAGCCAACAAACAGCAUGAGUGGUCCAGCUUUCCCAAAGCUCCGCAGCUCAUUAGAGCCAUCAGUUAACCCCCUGCCCCUGCCCGUUGCCUACUUAUUGUAAUUAAUUUUAUGGCCCCUUUCAAAAAAGAGAGAAAAGAAAAGGGAGACCUCUACAUUUUAUGCUACAUUGCACAAGCAAUUGAAAGUUGCAGGGAAGGGGAAAAAAAAAAAAAUCCCAGCACCAAAUGUUUAGCAGUCUUUUCUUCUACUUUAAAUGAGCAACCUAUUUAAAUCAAUUAUCGGCUCAAAAUGAGCAGGCUGAUCUAAUUAGUCUUGGCCCCUGGUGGGUUAAUGAAUGAAAGGGAGGUGUUGGGUAGAUGUGGGCUUUCUCUGGAGUCUUCGGAACUGACCACACUAACAUAGAUCCCUUCUGGGUUUCUAACUCUUACCAGGAAGAAUUAUAGAAAUAAAUAAAGAGAGGCAAAUGGUGAGAGAGUAGAAUGAGAGGCACAGUGGAGAAAUAUUAGUUCCAUUAGCAGAAUGACUAAGCAUUGCAUAGCAUAUUUUCAGCCUGUGUUUUACUAGGCACUGAUCAUUAGUGUUUGAUAAGUAGUUCAGAAUUGUAAAUAAAUCAAUUUGUGUUUUCUUUAAGCGUGUUUGAAACGGAACAACAUAUUGACUUCAGAAGAAAACAUGCUGGAGGCCCAAAUAUACAAACAUUUGACUGCAGGCAGAGGCCCAGCAUUCAGGGAAGUAUUCAUACUUCAAAGCAUUGCUUCUUAAGCUUUGAUGCACCUGUGAGUCACCUGGGGAUCUUGUUCAAACUAUUUUCUGAUUCAGUGAGCCCGGGCCUGAGAUUAUGCAUUUCUGACCAGUUGAAACUGGAUGCAACAGGGAACAUGAAUUGUAUACUGAGGCCAGGGUUGAAACUAGCGGUCUUGGACAAAAUGCUAAGCCUUUUUGGGCCUUUGAAUUUUCACUACUGUAAAAUAUUACAGAAGACUCAGUGUUUCCCUGUUGCCUUUAGAAUAACAGACAAAAUCCUUCAUGCUUACAAAGACCACAAUCUUCCCCAAACACCUGGAAAGCUUAAACUGGCUAGUCUCCCCAUCCCUGAGAAAGGAUGAUACCGUCCAUCUACUCUGAGUUCUGAAGAUCAACACACUUCUCCACGCUCUUGUUUGAAGAGAAUUUGUCUUGGCUAGGACCCCAUCUGUAGCUCUUGAGGUAAUUUUGUAACACUGCAUCAUGCCUGAGAAGGACUGAGAUUGAAAGAGAGCCUGGAGAGGCAAUCAGAUUUGGGGAUCAGAUGUUCAAGAGUCCUGAAUUCAAAAUGGAAGUCUGUCAUUUGUGGGCAAGUCAUUUAUUCUUGCUCUGGCUCAGUUUGCACUCCUGUAAAAUUGAGGGAUGAUAUCUGACUCACCUAUCAUGAUAGGGAUUAGAGACAGACUUGAAUAAGUGGUAGAUAUUUGUUACUACGCACUGAAGUAAUCUGCAGAAGAGCUUUGACGUUAGGUAAGGGCCAUCCUUGCGCAAGACGUCAGUACUUUAACUUCUCAGUUUAUUCGCAGGUGUUUUUCUCUGGCUUCUCUGAGAAAUGCAAUGUCACUGGGUCAUGGACUUAAGUUCUAAAAGAAAUCAGACAAUUCAUAUAAAAUUAGGCAGUGGGCUUUGAGGAAAUCAAACAUAGUUAGCCUGUCCUUUCAUUAGCUUUAUUUCCCCAGGAAAACUGAGCUUCUGGGGAAAUGUCAUUGUGUAGCUGAUUCAGCCAGAGCCUUCUAAUUUCUUAGCCCAGGAAGCAAAAGAAAGCUGGAAAAUGGAGGGUGAUUAAUUCUGUCAACACUUUACUAGAUUGCUUUCUAUGCUGCCUUCCU
ensembl:lncRNA